ACCGGUCUUCAUCCUCUCUAUAUUUCUUUCGUCAUUACAAAAUAACCAAUACAGUUUUUGGAUUGGAAGAAAGAAGAUAAAAUGGAGGAAGAACAAAUAAGAGUCGUAAAGAUAAUAGUUAUUGGAGUAAUAUUAUGGGGUGUGAGCUUUAUUCUCACCAGAAGAAUCUUCUCAAGCUACUCCUUCGACUUCAGCAACCGUCUUCUCUCAACUGUUCACGCGACAGUCGCUGUCACUUUAGCAACAUUCUCUGUUCAAGAUUGGUCUUGCCCUGUUUGUCCUCGUGCUUCUAAGCCGUCUCCCCAACAGAUGGAUACAAUGGCGUUUUCAUUGUCGUACAUGAUAUACGAUCUCAUAUGUUGUCAGUUCGAUCAAGUGAUCAGCAUGGACAAUGCGGUUCAUCAUUUUGUCAGCAUUCUUGGUUUUGUUGCUGGAUUUGCCUACCAAAAGUCUGGAUCUGAGAUCAUCGCUACACUGUGGAUAGCAGAGAUAUCGAGUCCUUUUUACCAUUUAAGGGAGAUUCUUAAAGAGAUUGGAUACAGAGACACCAGCGUCAAUCUGGCAGCCGAUAAAAUAGGAUCAUCUAAAGGAGAACCAAGUUUCCAUGGCUCCCUGAUAAGCUGAGUUUGUUGGGGAAAGCGGACACGAGGCGCAUCGGAAUGUAGCAAUCGUGUUUCCCCUGACCUUGUGAGAAUCUGAGAGAAAAAUACUUCGACGAUAGCAGGAUAUAAUAUAAGCAAUAACUAAAUGAGACAAACACUUUUUACGUGGAAAACCUCCUCGAUGUGAGAAGGAAAAACCACGGGACCGUAGUCUACUCAACAAUCCACUAUAUAAAUGUAUGUGAGUACAACCACGUCCUUCCUGUUCAACAACCUGAACAGAACAGAGACUCAAGCUACAAAGAGUCAUCUCCAACACAAGAACAACAACAACAAGAGAGCAACACAAAGCUUCAAAACCAGCAGAAACCAAACGACCUCAGCUCACAAGGAUUCUGGCAACCAGAGACUAAUCCCACCGUACAAAUCCAAGAUACACCAGUAAACAACACCUCUGCCAAAUUUCAGCUCAAUCCGAGAAGAUCUCACCGUCGGAUAUACCAAACACUCAAGACAGCACUGCUGAAGAACUGUGACGACCAGCUUCACUAAAACCCAGACAACAGAAGAUCCAACCGUUGAAAUCUAAAUCCCUUCGGUGAACCUUUAACUUACUGACUGAAGAAGCUUCCCAAAAAAUAUCAGCCCGAUCAGGAUCUGUUUGACCCUCCAAAUCUGUAUUGACAAACCCAGACGAAAUUCUGCCUCCUUCCCUCUUUUCUCUCUUUUGUCUUUUUGAUUCUUGUAAGUCUCUACAUAAAAAAAUAGGUCAAGAGACUAUAUAUAUGUGUCUCACUAACCCUAAGAACCUCCAAGGCCCAAUACUAAUCUCAUGGACUAAUACCAAUUGCCCAACUUCCAAGUUUGGUUAUCACCAACCAAACCCAAUGGGUUUCCUCCAUCUAGAAGGAACCCAACAGAGUUGUGGCUAUGUCUGAUGCUUUAGAUACGAUUUCGAAUUUGUUUGUCGAUGAUUUUUGUAAGCCCUGACGCAGCCUUUGGGUCCUCUCCAAACCUCUUACAAUUCCGUUCUGCCCAAACUGCACAUAGAGUGGCUUGGAAAGCAUAUCGAAACAAGAACAGCUCCAGUUUGCUUCACCUUUUAGUGAGAAGGGGUAUAAUGUCAUCCCACACAUUGGUAUAAUCCAUCCUCAAAAGCUUUCUGGUGAGGAUCGUCCGCACCUCCCCCGAGUAUUUACACUGAAAAAACAGAUGGUUUCUUGUCUCAGGACAGUCCUUGCACAGCGGACACAUAACCGCAAUGCCACCAUUCCAUAGCGAUAUGCGAUCUCCAGUAGGCAGUCUAUCCAGGAUUGCGACCCAUGUGUGGAAGGAGAACCUUGGAGUGCUGUAGCGAAACCACACACCUUCGAACCAGUCAACCCGUGCCUGCAUCCCUCGCAAGAGCUUCCAAGUUUCUUUGGUAGUAAAGCUCAGUUUAUAAUCAUCACCACACUUCCAUAGUCUGAUAUCCUCUUCACUCUGCAACCCUCUGUGUUUAACCUUCAAAAUCUCCAGCUCGAUGAGAUUAAAAACCUCCACUCGGUGUCUUCUUCUCUUGUGCUUUUGGAUUACUGUAGCAACUGUAUCAUGGAGUCGAAUACCCAUAUUCAUAGGUCCACCAGCUCAUGUUUUAUCCAUUAGACAUCCUAGUUCUGACCAGUCAUCAAACCAGAAAGACGUUGACAUGCCAUUCUUAACUUUCAUCUUCGAAAAUACAGCAGCAACUUCUCUGUACUUGAAUAGCUUCUUCCACAUCCACGAGCCAAGAGAACUACUAUCUUUUACUGUCCAGAAAGAUCCCUUGCGGAUUAGAUAACGUCUCACCCAUUUCACCCAAAGAGAAUUUUUUGAAGAUAGGAUACGCCAUACCAACUUCAGACAAGAGACCUGGUUUGCUUCCUCAAGAGACCGUAGUCCCAAGCCUCCUUCUUCUUUUGGCCUACAGUAAUCCUUCCAACUAACUUUUGCUUUAUUUGUAUUCAUAUCAGCUCCCGACCACAGAAACGCUGCGCAGAGACUGUCAAUCUCUUGAAUACACUUUCUUGGCAAUUUAAAUGCUGAUAUCCAAAAGUUUGUGAGACUGUGAAUAACAGAUCCAAUCAGCUGCAGUCUACCGGCAAAAGACAAAAAUCUGGCUGUCCAGGAACCAAUACGAGCUCUGAUCUUCUCAAUCAAAUGAGCAUAAUUUCUUACAGUCAUUUGUUUAGUUAACAGCGGCAACCCGAGGUAUAUCACUGGUAAGUCACCAUGGGCGAAAGCAAAAGUGUCAAGGAGCUCUUGCUUCUCAGUAUCUUGUACACCAGCGAGAAAGAUUGUUGUCUUUUCCACGCUGAUAUGUAAACCCGACAUCUCAACAAAAUGGUUGAAAAUAUUUAUAAUACCUUCAAUGGAUUGGCGCUUCCCAUCUGCAAAGCUGAGAUGUGUAAGCUUAAGUCCUUGGCAGUAAGGAUGGUAUCCAAAUCUCUUUUCUGCAGCACCUUUGUUAAGCAUUUUCGACAACACUUGCAUACAAAUAACAAACAGGUAUGGUGACAAAGAACAACCUUGUCUGAUUCCCCUUUUGCUAUUAAAAUAUCCGGCAAGCUCUCCAUUGACUUGCACCGUGAAAGAGGCCAAAGAAACACAUUUUUCAACCCAUAAAAUAAACUUUUUCGGAAUACCCAGCGCUGCAAGAGUGGAUAGCAGAAAUGACCACUGUACUGUGUCAAAAGCCUUUGAUAUGUCAAUCUGAAUAGCACUUAUGGCCGAGACAGUGCUUUUAUGGUAACUCUUGACUAGUUCUGAAGCAAGUAGUACAUUUUCCAUGAGGAGGCGAUCCUUUACAAAAGCUGAUUGGUUUGGCUCAAUGAACUUAGGAAGGACCAGUUUCAGUCUGUUCGCCAUGAGCUUUGAAAUGAUCUUAUAUAGAACAUUACAACAAGAAAUUGGCCUGUAGUCUUUCAUCGUUUUAGAUUCCUCCUUCUUUGGUAUGAGAGCCAAAAUAGUUGAGUUCACUCUUUUUGGUAGAAACCCAGUAUCCAAAAAAGCUUUAACAGCCACCACAAAGUCCUUACCAACUAUAUGCCAUGCAGCUUUAAAGAAUUCACAUGUAUAUCCAUCAGGUCCUGGUGCUUUGUUUCCGGCCAUGGAAAAUAUGGCCUUUCGGAUCUAAACCAUAAAUUAUUAUAAGACAAAAUCUAAAAGACCAUACAAAAGCAUAAUGAAGAAUUGAUUUUUUUCAAGGAAAUUCGUUAAAGAAGGGGCUAGAAAUCAGGAACUAGAGCAGGUUAAUGUACUUAUCUACCGUCACCAGUUCAAGGCUAACUGCAAGCAAAUAGAUCCUAUUCUUUCAGAAAACCGAAUACAUGUUAGAAUCGGUUAGGUGUAUAACUCUUAUACAACUAUUAGGUACAGUAAACAAAAGUGUGAAAAUAUUUUUUUGGCGUUAGUUUUUUUUUUCAAACUAGGAUAGAUGAUGAAUUGAAACCCAUAUAAAUUCUUGAAGCAUGUAGUAUUCUUUUUUUUGGGCAAAAUUGGGAGGCAACAUUCAAUUGCAAUUAUUAAUAAAUAGAUGGUUAGUUGUUGAAGAUUUCUUUGUUAGGUAAGGAGGUCCUUCUGUAAAACCCAAAUCUACUUAUUUGUUCUGUCAGCAUUUCUGUCCUUUUAAAUCUACUUUUGUGUAAAGCUUCUAAAAAAAGUUCUUGACAGAAAAAAAGUUAUUACUUACAUUAAUUGAUGAUAGGUGUGUUUUGCCACUAUUUUCACAUUGGCGAGAAUUGUGUGUGGACCCUUUCUCGUUUACGUAAGUCUAACGGCUGAUAAUCCCAUCUUCAUCAAGGCAAUGGGAUCCGGAUUACAACUCGUGAGUAUAUUUUGGUUCUAUAAAAUCUUUGGGAUGAUGAGAUAUAAACUAUUUAAGAAGCCAAAGUCAAACAAAAAGGCUACCUAGGCAGAGACGCAAAAGUUGAUUCAUACAAUUGUUUUCUUUCUUCUUUUCUAUUUAUUAAAUAUACAUCGUUUAUAUAUUUUAAAUUAAAAUGUAGCAGACGAAAAAGAAAGUUAAAAAAUCAAAAACUUAAAGUAUAAUAUAAAUAA